UAUAUCCGACUAGCCCGACACUGUUAAUAGGGUAUUCAAAAUCACAUUCAUUUCAAUAUGGUAAAAAUACUUACCUCAUUCAAAUUUUCAUACAAUAUAAAUAUCAAAUAUAGCAAUAACGAUUAAGCUCGGUUUAUAGAAAUACAAACCACUAUUUAUCGAAUUUAAUCGAUAUCUUCGUUCACCUUCUCUUUUCCCUUCUUUGAUGAUGUAUCCGGUGAUACGUUUGCUACUAACAAUCAUACAAUUAAAAAUCAUCAAUAUACUAAUUCAUAAAACACAUUUUCACUUUCUAUCAAACUUUUACAAAAAUUCCAAUUUCGUCCUUUUUCCAUUACUAAUCUUUUUUCUUUAACUUAAGCUUCAUAUUCUCUUUUAAUCAACUCAUUAACAAUUUCUAACUCAUAAAAUUCAUUAUAAAACAUAAAUUUUGAGCUCUAUUCAACUUAAUCCCUAUUUAAACCUAACUUAGAAUUCUUUUAAUAAAUCACUCAAUUUUCACUUCUAACUUUAAUUUCUAUCAAUUUAACCCUUAAAACCUCAAUUUAUUCAACUAAAUCAAUAUCUAAAAAUUUUCUAUUUUUCUUCAUUUUAACCUCAUACAUGUAGAACUUUGAAUUAGGCAUCCAUAAACAUAAAAAUUAUAAGAAAAUAAGCUAAAACAUCUUACCAAUCAAGCUUUAGGGCCUUAGUCCUCAAAUUUCCCUUUUCUAUUUCUUUCUUUCUUUCUUUCUUUCUUUCUCACGUUUGC
rnacentral:lncRNA from 1 species